rnacentral:rRNA from 1 species
AGUGAACGCUGGCGGUAGGCCUAACACAUGCAAGUCGAACGGCAGCACAGUAAGAGCUUGCUCUUACGGGUGGCGAGUGGCGGACGGGUGAGGAAUACAUCAGAAUCUACUUUUUCGUGGGGGAUAACGUAGGGAAACUUACGCUAAUACCGCAUACGACCUACGGGUGAAAGCAGGGGAUCUUCGGACCUUGCGCGACUGAAUGAGCCGCUGUCGGAUUAGCUAGUUGGCGGGGUAAAGGCCCACCAUGGCGACGAUCCGUAGCUGGUCUGAGAGGAUGGUCAGCCACACUGGAACUGAGACACGGUCCAGACUCCUACGGGAGGCAGCAGUGGGGAAUAUUGGAGAAUGGGCGCAAGCCUGAUCCAGCCAUACCGCGUGGGUGAAGAAGGCCUUCGGGUUGUAAAGACCUUUUGUUGGGAAAGAAAAGCAGCAGGUUAAUACCCCGCUGUUCUGACGGUACCCAAAGAAUAAGCACCGGCUAACUUCGUG